GAUGAACGCUGGCGGCGUGCCUAAUACAUGCAAGUCGAGCGAACAGACGAGGAGCUUGCUCCUUUGACGUUAGCGGCGGACGGGUGAGUAACACGUAGGUAACCUACCUAUAAGACUGGGAUAACUUCGGGAAACCGGAGCUAAUACCGGAUAAUAUUUCGAACCGCAUGGUUCGAUAGUGAAAGAUGGCUUUGCUAUCACUUAUAGAUGGACCUGCGCCGUAUUAGCUAGUUGGUAAGGUAACGGCUUACCAAGGCAACGAUACGUAGCCGACCUGAGAGGGUGAUCGGCCACACUGGAACUGAGACACGGUCCAGACUCCUACGGGAGGCAGCAGUAGGGAGUCUUCCGCAAUGGGCGAAAGCCUGACGGAGCAACGCCGCGUGAGGGAUGAAGGUCUUCGGAUCGUAAAACUCUGUUAUUAGGGAAGAACAAACGUGUAAGUAACUGUGCACGUCUUGACGGUACCUAAUCAGAAAGCCACGGCUAACUACGUG
rnacentral:rRNA from 1 species